rnacentral:rRNA from 1 species
GAUGAACGCUGGCGGCGUGCCUAAUACAUGCAAGUCGAGCGAACAGACGAGGAGCUUGCUCCUCUGACGUUAGCGGCGGACGGGUGAGUAACACGUGGAUAACCUACCUAUAAGACUGGGAUAACUUCGGGAAACCGGAGCUAAUACCGGAUAAUAUAUUGAACCGCAUGGUUCAAUAGUGAAAUACGGUUUUGCUGUCACUUAUAGAUGGAUCCGCGCCGCAUUAGCUAGUUGGUAAGGUAACGGCUUACCAAGGCAACGAUGCGUAGCCGACCUGAGAGGGUGAUCGGCCACACUGGAACUGAGACACGGUCCAGACUCCUACGGGAGGCAGCAGUAGGGAAUCUUCCGCAAUGGGCGAAAGCCUGACGGAGCAACGCCGCGUGAGUGAUGAAGGUCUUCGGAUCGUAAAACUCUGUUAUUAGGGAAGAACAAAUGUGUAAGUAACUAUGCACGUCUUGACGGUACCUAAUCAGAAAGCAACGGCUAACUACGUG